UAUUAGUAAACUUUCCGACAUUCUAAGAUUCUCUUUUUAUUGUUGAUUUAGUAAUGCAUCAUCAAAAAGAACAUAAUUUUUAUCUCGUUUAGAAGAUAAACACUCCAAAACCAAAAACAUAACUUAUCCUACAACAACUUAAACUAAAUGCAGAUUUACAAAAUCAAGUAAAGGUUAAACUAACCUAUCACCAAUAAACAAAAAAAAUCCGAAUAGAAAGAGAAAAGGUAACCGGAGAUGCACACAGUGACAGGCUCGAACUUCUAGAUAGUGGAAGAAAAUUUUGUAAAUACACUUUUGCCAUAAACUCCGUUGUCUGACAAAGAUGCAGUUCCGCAUCUGAUGCACCGACAGAAAAUGGAAUUGGCGCUAGUGGGCAUUUACACUUUCGAUGAUCACAUAGUUAAAAGUACAGCCAAUCAAUCAUGAAGGCAAGAUUCAAACAAGAGCAAGAUUACCUGAAAUUGUGAUUUAUAAGAUAGACGACCUCUUUUUUUUCCCGAUGUUCUGCCCCUUCACGUCGCUGGUUAUGGAUGUGGCUUCGGAAUCCAAACAUUCAGUAUAAUAAGCAAUUUCACUAACUGUUAGAAGUGGUAACGAGCUUGAGCGAGCACGGCUAAAAAAAGCUUGAAACGACUCGAGCUUAAACGAGCCCGAUCCUUAAAAAAAGCUCGUUUCGCAAAAUAGCCCAAGCCCGAGCUUCGUUUAUCGAGCUCGAGCAAGCUCGUGAGCCUAAACAAGCCAAUGGAUUCGAGUACCUGAUAAAAGAUAAAAG
rnacentral:lncRNA from 1 species